CUAUACAUGCAGUCGAGCGGACAGAUGGGAGCUUGCUCCCUGAUGUUAGCGGCGGACGGGUGAGUAACACGUGGGUAACCUGCCUGUAAGACUGGGAUAACUCCGGGAAACCGGGGCUAAUACCGGAUGGUUGUUUGAACCGCAUGGUUCAAACAUAAAAGGUGGCUUCGGCUACCACUUACAGAUGGACCCGCGGCGCAUUAGCUAGUUGGUGAGGUAACGGCUCACCAAGGCAACGAUGCGUAGCCGACCUGAGAGGGUGAUCGGCCACACUGGGACUGAGACACGGCCCAGAUCUCCUACGGGAGGCAGCAGUAGGGAAUCUUCCGCAAUGGACGAAAGUCUGACGGAGCAACGCCGCGUGAGUGAUGAAGGUUUUCGGAUCGUAAAGCUCUGUUGUUAGGGAAGAACAAAGUACCGUUCGAAUAGGGCGGUACCUUGGACGGUACCUAACCAGAAAGCCACGGCUAACUACGUGCCAGCAGCCGCGGUAAUACGUAGGUGGCAAGCGUUGUCCGGAAUUAUUGGGCGUAAAGGGCUCGCAGGCGGUUUCUUAAGUCUGAUGUGAAAGCCCCCGGCUCAACCGGGGAGGGUCAUUGGAAACUGGGGAACUUGAGUGCAGAAGGAGGAGAGUGGAAUUCCACGUGUAGCGGUGAAAUGCGUAGAGAUGUGGAGGAACACCAGUGGCGAAGGCGACUCUCUGGUCUGUAACUGACGCUGAGGAGCGAAAGCGUGGGGAGCGAACAGGAUUAGAUACCCUGGUAGUCCACGCCGUAAACGAUGAGUGCUAAGUGUUAGGGGGUUUCCGCCCCUUAGUGCUGCAGCUAACGCAUUAAGCACUCCGCCUGGGGAGUACGGUCGCAAGACUGAAACUCAAAGGAAUUGAACGGGGGCCCGCACAAGCGGUGGAGCAUGUGGUUUAAUUCGAAGCAACGCGAAGAACCUUACCAGGUCUUGACAUCCUCUGACAAUCCUAGAGAUAGGACGUCCCCUUCGGGGGCAGAGUGACAGGUGGUGCAUGGUUGUCGUCAGCUCGGUCGUGAGAUGUUGGGUUAAGUCCCGCAACGAGCGCAACCCUUGAUCUUAGUUGCCAGCUAUUCAGUUGGGCACUCUAAGGUGACUGCCGGUGACAAACCGGAGGAAGGUGGGGAUGACGUCAAAUCAUCAUGCCCCUUAUGACCUGGGCUACACACGUGCUACAAUGGACAGAACAAAGGGCAGCGAAACCGCGAGGUUAAGCCAAUCCCACAAAUCUGUUCUCAGUUCGGAUCGCAGUCUGCAACUCGACUGCGUGAAGCUGGAAUCGCUAGUAAUCGCGGAUCAGCAUGCCGCGGUGAAUACGUUCCCGGGCCUUGUACACACCGCCCGUCACACCAAGAGAGUUUGUAACACCCGAAGUCGGUGAGGUAACCUUUAGGAGCCAGCCCCGAAGCUAAAUAAAA
rnacentral:rRNA from 1 species